GGUUUUGUGGCCAGUUGGUUGAGUGUAGUGCUUACGAUGUAGGGUCGUGGGUUCGAUUCCCACUAGGGCCU